ACGGUGGAGAUAUAUCAAUUCCCUUCUGACUGAGUUCACCUGCUAUAUCAGCACAGGAUUUCUCUCUCCCAUAUCAAUCAUGGUGUACCUUGGCGAGGAUAUGUUCUUGGGCUGACUGCUGUUUUGUGGGUCGUCCAGAGCGAGGAGCAUCUUUUAAUCAGUCAUCACAGAUAUAAAGAUAGGGAAGAUCUGGAUUAAAGCCACAAUCUUGAGCAGUUCUAUAGAUACAAUUGAUGGUUUGAAUAGAUAGCUGAGUGAAAUUGCUGAUUUCUUUUGUAGUUUUACCACCAAAAGACUUCAGAGCCACUAUCACAGCACAGGUUGAGAUAUCUGUAUUGGGAGCCAUAUUGAAAUAAAAGAGA
rnacentral:sRNA from 1 species